CUUUGCUGGCGACCGGCGCACGGGUGAGUAACACGUAUCCAACCUGCCCUUUACUCGGGGAUAGCCUUUCGAAAGAAAGAUUAAUACCCGAUAGCAUAAUGAUUCCGCAUGGUUUCAUUAUUAAAGGAUUCCGGUAAAGGAUGGGGAUGCGUCCCAUUAGGUUGUUGGUGAGGUAACGGCUCACCAAGCCUUCGAUGGAUAGGGGUUCUGAGAGGAAGGUCCCCCACAUUGGAACUGAGACACGGUCCAA
rnacentral:rRNA from 1 species